CCUACGGGCGUCAACAGUGAGGAAUAUUGGUCAAUGGACGAGAGUCUGAACCAGCCAAGUAGCGUGAAGGAUGACUGCCCUAUGGGUUGUAAACUUCUUUUAUAUGGGAAUAAAACGUUCCACGUGUGGGAUUUUGUAUGUACCAUAUGAAUAAGGAUCGGCUAACUCCGUGCCAGCAGCCGCGGUAAUACGGAGGAUCCGAGCGUUAUCCGGAUUUAUUGGGUUUAAAGGGAGCGUAGGUGGGUUGUUAAGUCAGUUGUGAAAGUUUGCGGCUCAACCGUAAAAUUGCAGUUGAAACUGGCAGUCUUGAGUACAGUAGAGGUGGGCGGAAUUCGUGGUGUAGCGGUGAAAUGCUUAGAUAUCACGAAGAACUCCGAUUGCGAAGGCAGUUCACUGGACUGCAACUGACACUGAGGCUCGAAAGUGUGGGUAUCAAACAGGAUUAGAUACCCUUGUAGUC
rnacentral:rRNA from 1 species